rnacentral:tmRNA from 1 species
GGGGCUGAUCGGUUUCGACGGCGAGCCUGUGAUCCCAUCGUGCGACCCGAGUUGCUCAGACUCGUGAAACGGGGCACCAAUACGAAGCGCCAACACUGACGACUUCGCCCUCGCCGCCUGAUCUAACCAUCAGGUAGCGAAGGUAAAUCGCGAGUGACCCCCCAACCGGGGGCCGCCACGCGGGGCCGAUCCACCGCAGCCUGGCACCAGAAGCGGGGGAGGACAGCAGGCAGAGACCGCUGACCGCAGGAAAGACUGCUGACAAUCGGGGAAAGACCCGGCGGUGAGCUUCGGCUCACUCGACCCGGCGAGGUGACAGUCGUUACGUCACAGACUCGGGAAUGGUCGUAGCGCGGUCGGUGAGCACUCGGCGGACGGGGGUUCGAUUCCCCCCAGCUCCACGC